AUAUCCCAAUCAACUUGAUUAUAUAAUUUUGGAUGAAUAUGGCCUAUCACCAAACUCCAUUGACCAGAGACGUGAAUGUUGAUAUUGUGAGCUUUCACCCAAGAACUCAUGAAUUCUUUGCUUGGUCGAAUCUCUUGAUUGGAACCAUCUGUUGCUUCCUUUGUGAUCGGAAAAAAAAAAAACCCAAUUAUGGUAGCCGAGCUCCUUCUUGCAGCAUUCCUUCGGGUGCUGCUUCAGAAAUUGACCCUUCGCGCCUUCAUCGCCUCUUUAGGAAAAGAGGGAAUCGGAAAAAAGGUGAACAAAUGGGAGAAAACAUUGUCUGCAAUUGAAGCGGUCUUGUGUGAUGCGGAAGAGAAGCAACAAACAAGCAGGGCUGUGAAACUAUGGUUGGAUGAUCUCAAAGACUUGGCUUAUGAUGUGGAGGACAUCCUGGACAAGUUUUACACUGAAAUGUUACGACGCAAAGUGAAUAAGCCAAAUCAGGCUGGAGUCUGUAAGGUACGGGGCCUCUUUCCUAGACUUAAAUUGCACUUCAAUAUGAAGCAUGAAAUACAGGAAAUGACUGAUCGAUUAGAUGAAAUAUCUGAACGAAAAGACAGGCUCGGUUUAAUAGAUAUUGGGGAUAUUCCAGACAAGAGUCGGCCACCAAGUUCACGUGUGUUAGAUGGCGUGCCUGUUGUUGGAAGAGACAGUGAUAGAGGGAAGAUUGUUGAAUUUCUUUUAAGAAACAACCCUAAUGAUGCCAACUUUGAGGUAGCUGCCAUUGUUGGCAUGCCUGGGAUUGGGAAGACAACACUUGCUCAGUAUGUAAUUAAUGAUAACAGUGACAUCCUCAAAGAGUUCGAUCUUAAGAUAUGGGUAUGUGUGUCUAAUGACUUCAAAGUCUUGAGGGUAACAAAAGCAAUCCUAGAAUCAGUCACGUCUAAGCAUUGUGAUUUGGACCAAUUCAGUAACAUCCAGAAUCAUCUGUGUAAAGUAUUAACAGGUAAGAAGUUCUUACUUGUUUUAGAUGAUGUCUGGAGCACCUGUAACUAUGAUCAGUGGAAGAUGCUGCAAUCCCCCUUUCAUGUUGGAGCAUCGGGAAGUAAGAUAAUUGUAACGACACGGGAUGUGGAAGUUACCAAGAUGAUGAGAGCCGCUGAAGUUCACAGUUUGAUGGGUAUAUCAAAUGAUGAUUGUUGGAAAGUGUUUGAGCAACAUGCCUAUUUUAAUGUUGACAAUGGCAUACCACAAAAUUUCAGGUUACUUCAGGAGAAAAUAAUUGCAAAAUGUGGUGGAUUACCCCUGGCAGCGAGGACUCUUGGUGGCCUUUUUGGUUGUAAGGAAAUAACUGAAUGGGAAAAAAUGUUGGACAACAAAUUAUGGCUUUCAGAUAAGAGUGACAUUCUUCCAGUUUUACAAUUGAGUUAUUAUUAUCUCCCGUCAAAAUUGAAAAGAUGCUUUGCCUAUUGCUCAAUACUUCCAAAGGACUAUGAAUUUGGGGAGACACAGUUGAUCCUUCUAUGGAUGGCAGAGGGCUUGAUUGAGAAACCACUCAAACCAGAAGAUAGUAGACAUUUGGAAGAUGUAGCGAGUGAAUAUUUCAGUGAGCUACUAUCUAGGUCAUUGUUUCAAAAAUCGAGCAAAAAAAAUUCAAGAUACGUAAUGCAUAACCUUGUUAGUGAUAUGGCACAUAAGGUUGCAGGAGAAAUUUGUUUUCGAUUGGAGGAUAAGCUGGAUGGUAGCUGUUCUCCAAAGUCUCGUCAUUUGUCUUACAUUACUGGGAGGUAUGAUGGGGUUAAAAGAUUUGGUGCUGUUUCUGAGGUACACCGUUUGCGGACUUUCCUACCACUUACAAUUUCAGAUGACCCAUGCAAUUACUUGACUAGUAAGGUUACUCUUGGCUUACUACCAAAGUUGCAAUACUUGCGGGUGCUCUCUUUGAAUGGUUAUCGUAUAAGUCAGCUGCCAAACUCCAUUGGUGAAUUGAAGUUUCUGCGGUACCUGGAUCUUUCUCACACAGAAAUAACAAGUUUGCCUGAAUCAGCAAGCACACUUUACAAUUUGCAGACGUUGAUAUUAGAGAGUUGUUAUAGUUUGAAGGCACUACCUACAAACAUGAAGAAUCUAAUUAAUCUUCGUCAUCUGAGCAAUUCUAAUACACCUCUGUUGGAAGGAAUGCCUGCACAACUAGGUCAGUUGACUAAUUUGCAAACACUGUGCAAUUUUGUAGUGGGCAGAGGAAGCAAUUCGGGGAUAAGAGAGAUAGAGCCCCUAUUGCAUCUUCGAGGAACAUUGCGCCUUUCAAGAUUGGAGAAUGUGAAUGACAUUGAGGAUGCAAAGAGGGCCGACUUUGUUAGCAAGGAGGGUCUUGAGGCUUUUCUACUAGAAUGGGGUGGCCUAGGAGAAAAAGAACUAGAGCUGCUCAACAUGUUAGAGCCUCAUAGAAAGCUCAAAGUUCUUAGUAUCAAGGGCUACGGUGGUUUGGAAUUUUCAACAUGGAUGGGACAUCAUUUAUUCUCUAAUAUGACAGUUGUAAGGUUGGAGGAUUGUAAAAACUGUGGUUUGUUGCCACCACUUGGUCAGUUGCCUUCUCUUAGAAAGCUUAUUAUAAAAAGAAUGUAUAGGGUGGAAAGUGUUGGUCCAGAGUUUUAUGGAAAUGAUAACUUGCCCUUUCCACUGUUAGAGAUCCUUGAGUUUGAGGAGAUGAAAGAUUGGAAAGAGUGGGUUUCACUUGAACGGGAUCAAGGAAUUGGAGCUUUCCCUUGCCUAAAAAUGCUUUCCAUUUCCAGAUGUCCAAAGUUGGAGGGUAGGUUACCCAAGAAUCUUGCUUUAUUAUCAGAGCUUGUGAUUCGUGGAUGCGAGCAGUUGGUUGUUUCCAUUGCCAACUAUAAACAACUUCAGAGAUUUGAUAUUUGUGAUUGCAAAGGGGUGGUCGAUGGAAGUGUAUCUGAGUUUCAGUUGCUGGAGGCCUUGAAGCCAUCUUAUAUUUCGGAGUUCAGACUCCAUACAAAGGACUUUCUGAGAGGAUUAAAGAAGCUUGAUGGUUUGACUAUUAAUUACAGUGAGGAGCUCACAUCUUUCUGGAAGAACGAGAUUUCUCUUCGUUGUUUGUACAUCAGAGGCAGCACACACUUCCACUUUGUUCAACAGCUUGCAUCACUUCAAGUGCUUCACAUAUAUGACUGCUCAACUCUAUUUUCUUUCCAAGAGUUUGAUUUGCCACCUUCUCUAAAAGAGUUAAAGAUUGAACAGUGCAGUUCUCUUGUGCACUUUGCAAGGCGCCAGAUGCCUUCAAAUCUAAGAAGAAUAGAGAUUUUGUUAUGUGAAAAAUUCAAAUCAUUAUUAGAAGAGGAGGUUAAUGCUUCUCCAUCAUCUUGUUCUCUUUAUUUGAUGCAUGACGAGGUCUCUUGUCUUGAGUAUUUGAGUAUAGAGGAGUGCUCAUCUCUCAGGUCUUUAUCAUUUAGAGGCCAUCUACCCCAGGGGCUGAAAUACCUUCACAUAAGUGAUUGUGAACAACUUCAGUCGAUAGCUAGUAGGUUCCAUGGUAGCAGUUGUCUCGAAUAUAUAAGGAUCUGGCAUUGCGGAAGUCUUAAACAUUUACCAGAGGGCCUAUGCCUCCUAACCAAUCUUCAAGAGUUAGGUAUUUAUGAUUGUGGAAGUCUUGUUUCCUUUCCAGGAGAAGGUUUUCCUAGAAGUGUCUCCAACCUGAGAGAGAUUGACAUAAGCUAUUGCACUAAACUGGAAACCUUACCUAAAGGCAUGUAUCACCUCAAAUCCCUUCAGCGAUUGGAGAUUUCUUACUCUGAAGAUUUCGCAUCCUUUCUUGAAGAGGGUUUUCCCCUCUAUCUAACAUCACUUACCAUUCUACAUGUCAAGAGCUGUAAGCCACUCUUCGACUGGGGGUUAUACAGACUAACCUCUCUUAGAGAACUUGAAGUUGGUGGUGAAGAUCUAAAUCUGGUGUCAUUUCCGCCUGAGAAUGAGAUUGUUCUGCCGAAAUCUCUAGUUCAACUGGCAGUUCAUGACUUCCCAAAUCUCACUAAACUCACCAAGGGCUUCCAACUUCUAACCUCUCUCCAAUCUCUUCAAAUCGAGGGGUGUCCUAAGCUAGCAUCCAUUCCAUAUGAGGGUAUGCCUCUUUCACUUAUACAACUUACUAUCUACCACUGUCCGCUUCUAAGCAAGAGAUGUAAACCUGGUAAAGGAAGGUUCUGGCCCUCGAUUGCCCACAUUCCAUACAUACGGAUUCAAGAUAAUGUGCAGACAACAACUCCAAGUUCAUAGUUCGUCCCUCCAGAUUGCCAGUCAAGAUUAUGAUGGCCAAUGAGUUAUUUAAGCAUGCCUCUAGCAUUUCAGGGUGUUGAAGUUCUGGUAAGAAUCAAGUGAUUCUGCAAAAAACUGGAUUCUUGAAGCUUGUUGUGGGAUUUUGCACAAUUGUUGAAGGUCAGCUGGUUUAGUGCGGUUGUGGGAACAGAGAAGGCUUCUGAACUAGAGGAGCAAAUUUUUUUGAUGCUCUGUUGCAUAUGAAAACUGGGGCUGAAGCUGUCGGGGCCACUGGAACUCUUAAAGGGCGUUAGAGCAGAAGAAUGUAUGUGCAGUUGUUCAGGAAAGCAUGAUAGUAUCCUCAUCUUGGCCGUAUUUAUAAUCACUCGGUCAAAAAAUGCUAUUCAAUACAGAAAAGCCGAAGAAUGUAUGUGUGUGCAGUUGUUCAAGAGCCGAGGUCCAAGAGGGUCAUUCUAGCCUAAAAUCAUUGAGCGCUGGAGAGCAACGCCUGAAUAUAUCUUUGGCCGUGUUUUAUAGCAUCAUGCACUAACAGGGGAGCAUAGUACGUAUCACAAACUUCUGAUAUGUCACCCAGCAUGUUUGGUGUUUAUACAGAUAUUGAUGUCACUUCUUAGUGUGUUCUUGCAAGUCUUCGUGCUCCUUAUCAGUCGUAUGAUUAUAUGAGAGUAAAAAUAGAAUAGAAAAGAAUUGACAAUUUGACAACUAUGGUGCAAAGGUGACGUUCUGAGUGUAUUGUGUAAGUAAAGGUUGUAAUUGUA